CAAUAAAAGUGUUCAUGUUGCUGGCCU
rnacentral:piRNA from 1 species